rnacentral:SRP_RNA from 1 species
GCCGGGAGUCGUGGCGUGCUCCUGUAAUCCAGCUACUUGGAGGCCGGGUACAGAGGAUGUUUCUGGUUCGGGGGGGUCCCAAGUCGAACGACUCGCGCAUUUUUCACAAUCGUCGGGAAUAUCUCGGUAGUCGAAACCGAAUAUUUUUCGCCGAUCUCGCAGCGUAAUCAGGGACUUCAUCGUCCCGGGUGUGCGAUACUUCGGCUUGGGUUCUUUUCGGCCAAUACGAAGAAACAGACCUGUACCCAA